rnacentral:ribozyme from 1 species
AUUAAUUCAUCUUCUGCUCCUUUCUAUAUUUUUCUCUUUUCCAGUUUGUGCGCAUUUGGAAUAAAAGAGAAAUACGCCUCCUUUUGCUGUGCUUAACUGCCUUCAAACAUAGAAAAGAAAAUCAAGGAA